rnacentral:rRNA from 1 species
CGUCUUGGUCAAUGAUUUUAGGUGCUUGCACUUGAAUGAUUUGACAUUGAGACGAGUGGCGAACUGGUGAGUAACACGUGGGUAACCUGCCCUUGAAGUAGAGGAUAACACUUGGAAACAGGUGCUAAUACUGCAUAACAACGAAAACCGCCUGGUUUUCGUUUGAAAGAUGGCUUCGGCUAUCGCUUUAGGAUGGACCCGCGGCGUAUUAGCUAGUUGGUGAGGUAACGGCUCACCAAGGCAAUGAUACGUAGCCGACCUGAGAGGGUAAUCGGCCACAUUGGGACUGAGACACGGCCCAAACUCCUACGGGAGGCAGCAGUAGGGAAUCUUCCACAAUGGACGAAAGUCUGAUGGAGCAACGCCGCGUGAGUGAUGAAGGGUUUCGGCUCGUAAAACUCUGUUGUUGGAGAAGAACGGGUGUCAGAGUAACUGUUGACAUCGUGACGGUAUCCAACCAGAAAGCCACGGCUAACUACGUGCCAGCAGCCGCGGUAAUACGUAGGUGGCAAGCGUUGUCCGGAUUUAUUGGGCGUAAAGCGAGCGCAGGCGGUUUUUUAGGUCUGAUGUGAAAGCCUUCGGCUUAACC